AGACUGGGGAACUGCAUUCACAUCCCAUCAGGAAUUUGCGCUCUCCAGGCAUUUUCCUGGAAGAUUCAAACGCGGAACCAAGUUGGAAAGAGAUGAAGACUAAGGAUGGAGAGGAAGAAGCAAGGGUGAGGUCACGGAGCAGGGCCUGAAGCCGGCUCAGCGAGGGAACACCUGCCAGUUCUGCAGAGGAAAUCUGCCGUCAUCAGUUUCUCCAUCAGGCCUUUUGCUCAGAUGUCUUCCAAACAGUGCUUUAAACAUUCAGUCAAAAACUGAGUCAGUCUCAGGCCAGCUUAAAACUAAGCCAAAACUAAAGGUCUGAGAAUAUAAAGAGUGGAAUUGUGGGUUUUGACUAUGAACUAUAAACAGUAAAACAUUUAUAAGCUCCUUUAGAAUAUGCAAUGCUUUACUGAGAUGGCUGUCUACAUUUUUAAUAUUUGGGAGAUAAACUUACAGAGAAAUUUAAUAGAAGGCAUUAUCACUUGAAUGUUGAGCGAAGGCAAUUAUGUAAGGGUUGGGUUGGUAAUUCCUGAUGGAGAGACUCUUUGUCUCAACAAUAAAGGAUC
rnacentral:lncRNA from 1 species